AAAAGACCGUAGACAUGUUGGUGCAGGUCAAAUUGUUUUUUUAAAUGUCCAGUGGCAAAUAUUCAGGACAAGAGUAAAUUAACAAUAAAUCUAAUUGGCAACUUCAGGAACAUAGAAGACUAAUAAAUGGUAAGGGUUUAGAUUUUCAAUGAAAAGAGGGUAUGAUGAAUAGGGCAGCUUUGCCACUGGUCACAAUUGACCCAUCAAAA
rnacentral:lncRNA from 1 species